UUAACACAAAAAAACAUUUUUGCAGGUGGAGGAGUGUGUGCAUGUGACCAAGCAUCUUGAUUUAUUGCAGGAUUAACCCACCCAAGAGCAGACAUUUCUGUCUGGCUGCUUAAUCCAUAACAUCAUGUUUUAUCAUGAUGUCUACUUAUGUGAUAUAAAAUUACAGAUGAUAAACACAAACCAGAUCGCCCGUCUCUGAAAUGGCAUGUGCAUUUAAGAAACAUGGGGCAGCAGUUCUGCCGCUAUCGGAUAUGUUCAAGUACCCCUUCAUUGUCUCAUCCCCUUGAUAAAUGGGAUGGGCUUUCCUGGAAUUGUUAAGUAGAAUUUCACAACAGGACAUUUAUACAAGAUAUAGUAACCCAGUUACUGUCAAUGUUUAGGGUUAGGCUUUUUAUUUUUCAGUUGGUUUGCUUAAGUUUGAAUUUCACACCUCUACCACCUGGAGUUGCAGCAACUGGAUACAACCACGCAUCCAUUACUUGCAGCUCUCCAUUGUAGGGAAAGCACAAAUAACCAACAUACUACUGAAGUUGAAUAUGGCCACAUAUAAUAUCCAAAUCGCAAGAGAUGCAAUUUUCUUCGAAAAAAGGUAAAAUGCGUCAAGACAGCUUCAUAUCCGAGCAGAGAUGCCUGGGUCUACAAAUUGUGUUUUAAAGAUUAUCAUCUUUGCUGAUCAUGAAUGACAUCAUAUAUGCAUAACAGCAUUUUUUUUGUCAUGCAGCCCUAAUCUGUUGCAACUUUCUGCUGGCUUGUUGUUUUCACACACUCAAAUGCAAAAUGUGAGGUUGCAGAUUAGAGCUGCAAGUGUUUAAAAUGAUAAGUUGUCAACCAUUAAAUUCAACCAAUUAAUCAUUUAGUGAGUUACUCUUUUUUCUUUUAUUUAAGUCAAGUUUCCUUGAUUCUGUCAUAGUGAAUGUGAGUAUCUUUUGACUUUUUCUUUCCUCCUCUAUGACACUAAACCGAAUUUCUAAAACAAGGCGUUUGAGGACGUCAUUUUGUGCUUCUGGAAACACUGAUCAACACUAUCACAACGGUUUAUAGGUGAACCGAUUGAUUGACAUAAUGAUCAACAAUGAGAAUGCAAAUACAAAUUACAAAUGGCCUAUCAAAGCUGAAACAUUACUGACAAACACACUAGAGAACUCAAACUAGCUACUCCACAACCUUUACCAGCUGGUAAAAGCCGGAGAACCCUGGAAGGAAUCAAUGCACAUGAGGUAGCCACAUAACCCUUUUCCACUAUUCAAAACUCACACUUAAUCUCUCUAAGAUUGAGCUUUUGUGUGCAGCGGGAAUGUGUAAACUCUGCAUUUACGACCGGGUCAAUUGACUCUGUCGUAGACACAAGAUAUUUUCCCCUUGGCGGAGCUUUGAUCUAAACGUGACACAGUUUUGGAGUUGGACUCCAGUUCAUUCUUAUGAAAGCUGCUCAGUGGUGUCUUGAAGCCAUAAAAGCUUGACUUACCGACUAUGAAAAUACCUGGAUCGCUGACCAAUCCGACCAACUUCCAAUUAAGCGCCUGGUUAACUUGGGGGGGAAUAAAUAAUGUAAUCGUGCAGCUUCUUCUAGACUUUCCGAAUGCUAUUAAACCGCUUUCAUUUUGCAGGGGGUCGCAGAACACUUUUUUUCCACAAUGGGUCUAUUGUCUGCAACUGUUUCCGCUGCAUUUGUGACGUGAAACGUGACAGCAGUGAUGUACAACGUGACACUUCUGAUAAAAAUCAGACAAGCUGCCUUGCCUGCAGGAAGUGGGAAUGGGGUCAAAAAGCAUUUUUCAGGGAGAAAACGUUCUUUUAUAUAAUCAGGUGGACUGACCCUUUAAUGACACAAACUGAUGACUGAGCAGCAGUUGUAUCAUUAAUUUGUCCUUGUCUCCAACAGCAAAGAGCAACCUGUCUCUUAGCACUACACCCGCAAAACCAGCACAGUGCACAAUUAAAUAAGUACACUUAUACUCGAUGAUAAUGAUGACUUAGUGCACACUGUGCUGCUGCCUCCUAACAAACUUUAAGAGCAGACUAUGAGCCUGUGUAAUUUAUCACGUCAGCAUACAUCUUGCCUCAUGUAACGUUAGGCCUUCUCAGUUAAGGCACAACACCAUCAGAAGGGACUCUAUUGUUUUUCGCGCAUUUAUUUAUGUGACGUAAACAGGCUAUGAAGUGAAGCAGUGAGCUGCUAGAGAAACAUCUGCUAGCUUACAGCUGUUUGUCGUGGGCUCCGACACUCUCCGCUACCGAGAAAAAAACCCAACAAAAUACCCCUAAAAACAACGCGCCAUGUUUAGAGAAACACAGCAGGCACGAGCCAGGAAUGUUUUGUUUCACUUCCUGAUUUUUUGGCGGAGGGAGGUCCAUGUGCUACGGUCGCGACUGCGCAUGUGCGGAUCCAGGCUCUCUUUUAAUACCUGAAGCGGGUUUUGGAGUGACUCUUCAGACGGAGAUCUGUCAGUGUAGAUCUGCCAGAGAGCUCCCCCGAGGAUACGAUGAGGGUCGGCCUCGUUCCAUGCAGCACAGCUCAACAGAGUGAUGUGAGUAUACUAAUUG